rnacentral:rRNA from 1 species
AGUGAACGCUGGCGGUAGGCCUAACACAUGCAAGUCGAACGGCAGCACAGUAAGAGCUUGCUCUUACGGGUGGCGAGUGGCGGACGGGUGAGGAAUACAUCGGAAUCUACUUUUUCGUGGGGGAUAACGUAGGGAAACUUACGCUAAUACCGCAUACGAUCUACGGGUGAAAGCAGGGGAGCUUCGGACCUUGCGCGAUUGAAUGAGCCGAUGUCGGAUUAGCUAGUUGGCGGGGUAAAGGCCCACCAAGGCGACGAUCCGUAGCUGGUCUGAGAGGAUGAUCAGCCACACUGGAACUGAGACACGGUCCAGACUCCUACGGGAGGCAGCAGUGGGGAAUAUUGGACAAUGGGCGCAAGCCUGAUCCAGCCAUACCGCGUGGGUGAAGAAGGCCUUCGGGUUGUAAAGCCCUUUUGUUGGGAAAGAAAAGCAGCAGGUUAAUACCCCGCUGUUCUGACGGUACCCAAAGAAUAAGCACCGGCUAACUUCGUG